rnacentral:rRNA from 1 species
GUAAAGAGCUCGUAGGCGGCUUAGCAAGUCGGCUGUGAAAGUCCGAGGCUCAACCUCGGAACGCCGGUCGAAACUGCUAUGGCUAGGGUCCGGUAGAGGAGAGUGGAAUUCCCGGUGUAGCGGUGAAAUGCGCAGAUAUCGGGAGGAACACCAGUAGCGAAGGCGGCUCUCUGGGCCGGUACCGACGCUGAGGAGCGAAAGUGUGGGGAGCAAACAGGAUUAGAUACCCUGGUAGUCCACGCCGUAAACGAUGGGCACUAGGUGUGGCGGGUUUUAUCAACGCCUGCCGUGCCGUAGCUAACGCAUUAAGUGCCCCGCCUGGGGAGUACGGUCGCAAGGCUAAAACUCAAAGGAAUUGACGGGAGCCCGCACAAGCGGCGGAGCAUGCGGCUUAAUUCGAUGUAACCCGAAGAACCUUACCUGGACUUGACAUCACGGGAAAAGCCAUGGAAACAUGGUGUGCUUUUGCGUCCGUGACAGGUGGUGCAUGGCUGUCGUCAGCUCGUGUCGUGAGGUGUUGGGUUAAGUCCCGCAACGAGCGCAACCCCUGUCUCAUGUUGCCAGCGGAUGAUGCCGGGGACUCAUGAGAGACUGCCGGGGACAACUCGGAGGAAGGCGGGGACGACGUCAAGUCAUCAUGCCCCUUAUGUCCAGGGCUGCACGCAUGCUACAAUGGGCGGUACAACGGGUCGCGAUCCCGCGAGGGUCAGCUAAUCCCCCAAAACCGUUCUCAGUUCGGAUUGGAGUCUGCAACUCGACUCCAUGAAGUCGGAGUCGCUAGUAAUCGUGGAUCAGCAAUGCCGCGGUGAAUACGUUCUCGGGCUUUGUACACACCGCCCGUCACAUCACGAAAGUCGGUAACACCCGAAGUCAGUGGCCCAAC